CCCUGACUCGCGGGCAGGGCCGGGGCCGAGCUGCGGCAAACAGGCCGAGCUCAGGGCCGUGCGCUGCGGAAGGUGAAUUGCUUGUGCCCAGCGCCUGUGGCCGCAUCUUUUGCGCAGAACGAGCUCAAACCGGUGGCUGGGUUCCUAACCCCUGCAGUCUGAGAGCCCCAAUUUGAGCACUCUGGGCUCAAAUGAAAAGUAAAGUGAAGAUGGUCCCUCAACCUCUCCAGAGCGCUCAGAUGGCAGAGGCUCUUCAGCAGCUUUUUGGAAUGGGCACCAAUAAAGCAUGGGCUGUCAUCUGCUGACAUUUUGUUCAAUGGAAGACUGAAAACAAGAAUGCCUGAUGUCAGAGUCACUGGAGACUUGCAAAUGUAUAAACAGGCAGAUAAGGCAAAACAAAAAAAUCAGUCUGAUUUGUGGUCCUGGGAGCUGCCACCACUUCAUGAAAAUGAUGUUGGGCAUCUCUGUGAGGGGAAACAGUGUUAAAUAAAUGUGCUUGCUUAGAAAGGGCUGUGUAGUAACUUAUAAUGUGUGUCAGUUACAGCUCUUGUGCCUUGGGAAAGAAAGGAACACAUAGACACUGGCCUAUUUAGGCAGUCUGAUUUGCCGAAGAUAUCACAAUGUAGGCAGGGAAAUGUGCAGCCUGGAAAAAAGACCUGGUCAGGAGGGUGACAGUCUGUAACCCCAUAUUCACCCCUUUCACAGGACUGAUAAAUUUUGUUCACAUUUUGCCUUGUGAGGUAUCAUUUGAAAACUCAUAAUUUUCUGAUCAUUAUUGUCCUGGUAAAAUAUGUUUGGCAACACUGAAUGUAAAGCUAUAAGAUUCCUCCAUAUGGUAUUACUAAGAUAUGUUCCAUGUCUGAGGGGAGCAGCCAUAAACAAGUUUAUCAGAGACAAAAGGCUAGCCAACGCCUAAGCCAGGUGUCAACAAAAUCAAAUGGACCAUCACCUGGUUAAGUGGUUAUUCUUUGGCAGGAAAGAGGAUGUGGGUGAAAAUCUACAUCUUGACAAAGAAACAGAUGGGGUUUCCAGUCUACACAGACUUUCUGUCUCCUGAACAUCAGCUAGAGAUAAUUCUUGAAGAAGAGAGAGAAUUAUAAGAGGAGAGAGGAGACACUCCAUAUGAUUCCUCCUUGUCUUUCUACGGCACUUAACACUUGAAGAACAAAGGAAACAGCAUCGAACUGGGGGAAGGAUCCUGACUGAAAGAGAUUCAGCCAGUAAGUCCGCUGUAACAUGCAAUGAAAGAGACAUUUGCUGUGAAUUCACUUAGCUUAAUAAAUUGUUAGUUUCGUUUUACUUUUAUUUUCUUGUAAGCGUUCUGACUUUUAUGCCUCAGAUUUUAAGUGACUACAAGUAAUAUCUUUCUGUAG